rnacentral:rRNA from 1 species
UACGUAGGGUGCAAGCGUUAAUCGGAAUUACUGGGCGUAAAGCGUGCGCAGGCGGUUUUGUAAGCCUGUCGUGAAAGCCCCGGGCUCAACCUGGGAAUUGCGAUGGAGACUGCAAGGCUUGAAUCUGGCAGAGGGGGGUAGAAUUCCACGUGUAGCAGUGAAAUGCGUAGAGAUGUGGAGGAACACCGAUGGCGAAGGCAGCCCCCUGGGUCAAGAUUGACGCUCAUGCACGAAAGCGUGGGGAGCAAACAGG